rnacentral:sRNA from 1 species
UGAACAGUUGGACAGGCGAGGAAACGUGU